GCACUUGUGGGGGCGCCUAUCGCCCCCAGACCGGCCUUGUAGCCCAGCUCGCUCCCGCCCCCCGGCCGCUUCGGGGCUGGGCGAGGGCGCUCCCUAGGCGGCCUUGGAUGCUGGGGUCCCCCCCCCCCAGCGGCUCCGGCUUCCCGGCCUGGCGCUCCCGAAACUCUUAGGGCUGCAGCGGGUGAGGACGCCCCCAGGAAGCGCCUGCGGGGCCGGAUUGUGUAGGGAAGCGGGCGAUGCGGAGGCGGUGGUUGUUGGGCUCUUAGGGUUGGGCCGCCCAGAGCCCCUAAGGGCAGGCCCCGGCAGCUGGAGGGGAAGAGGGUUCGGCAGGGAUCCAAGCAUGCCAGCAUAUAAAAAUAAGUCUCAUGUGUAUAUUCCAUUUAACUGUGUCUCAGUUAUACUCAGAUCUCUUUACAGAUUAAGCCGGAAUUUCGAUAUCAUAACUGACUUCUGCCCAGUGAAGUAUGUACAUCUGCUGGGACUUGGGUGAUAUCUUGGUUAUAGGUCAGUUGUUCAGAACUUUCAUUUGCAGAGCACUUUCAGGCCUUUAUAAUUGCUUGGAGAGAAUUAUAGCUAAGGGAGCGACUGAUCUAGAUUUACAACUCAGAAAGAAAGAAAUCUUCAUCUGGCGGAGCUCCCAGUGGUUUAACAACAGCUUGUUGACAAAAUUCCUGAGUGCUUAACCACUAGCUCCAGUACACCAUGGAAAGGAGGGCGCCAUUAAGCUUCACCAGAUAUGAGCCACCACAGUGAAGGAAUGGCUUUCUCUGGAUCAAUUUCCAACAUCCUGGGGAAAAUCCUGGGUUGCCCAGCUUGUCUGUCAGGUUUCUGUUCCCCGAAUUGUUGUCGACUAUGACCAGGGGACCAGGACUGCAUGGUAGAAGUUGUUGGAAGUGUGUUUUAAUAAACCACAGGAGGCGAAUUUGGGGAAUUAUAAUACCCCAGUCUUGGUCUCUUCAAAGCAGAGCUUGGUGUAAAGACUUAUGUAUAACAAAUUUCUCAGAAAUAAAAUCCUUGGAAAGCAGAAGUACAGAACCACUGGGAAAGGAGGGAAAGGCAAAAGGAUGCUUUCUGAAGUUCUACAAAUCAGUUACUCUUCUGUCACUAUUGGAUAAUAAAAGGGUAACCUCAAAUAAUACCUGGUAAGGAAUGAGCUGCGUGCUGCCAGGGGACUUUACUGGAGCCUGAGAACAAAUCCAAAUGCUGAUGGAGGUGGAGGGAAGAGAGGAGCACACCCUUCUUCAGGACCCCUCUGGAAUUCCUGGAUUGAGAUGUACUAUCUGCACCAUUUCCCCUGCUCUGAAGGCAUUUUGGUUGUGAGAACCAAAUUUCCUUUAUCAUUUAAGUUAGUUUGAAUCAUGACACUUGCAACCAAAAUCUUCUAAGUGCUACACGACCUCAAUCACAAGGAUUACACCGUAUUCUGGUUGUUGGAGUGUUUUCUAGAAGGAUGCUACCUCUUAGGGUAAGGGCUCACACAUCUGAUUUAACUUGUAUCCACAAUCCCUAACAGAGCUCAUGGCAUAUAAUAGAAGCUUAAUACAUAAUGGAUUGAAGGAAUGCAACUAUAA